GAUGAACGCUGGCGGCGUGCUUAACACAUGCAAGUCGAACGGACCUUGAGGAGCUUGCUCCUCUUGGUUAGUGGCGGACGGGUGAGUAACGCGUGGGUAACCUGCCCUAUGCAGGGGGAUAACGUUUGGAAACGAACGCUAAUACCGCAUAACAUAAUUAGUUUGCAUGAACUGAUUAUCAAAGAUUUAUCGGCAUAGGGUGGACCCGCGUUGGAUUAGCUAGUUGGUGAGAUAACAGCCCACCAAGGCAACGAUCCAUAGCCGGCCUGAGAGGGUGAACGGCCACACUGGGACUGAGACACGGCCCAGACUCCUACGGGAGGCAGCAGUGGGGAAUAUUGCACAAUGGGCGCAAGCCUGAUGCAGCGACGCCGCGUGAAGGAUGAAGGUUUUCGGAUCGUAAACUUCUAUCAGCAGGGAAGAACCAAAUGACGGUACCUGACUAAGAAGCCCCGGCUAACUACGUGCCAGCAGCCGCAGUAACAC
rnacentral:rRNA from 1 species